UCCGCGGUGGUGGGGGGUGGGGUGCCGCGGCCGUAGGUGCGCGCGCAGCCCCAGCCGCACGAGGCGCCAGCUCAGGAGCGGCUGGGGCGUGGGGGCUGAGGUCUUGUCUGCGCGCUUCUGCGGCCCGGGUGGCGACUGGCUCGCGGACAUCCCUUUCGAAUCCGGUCCGGACCCUGGGGAAGGGUCCCGGCUAGCUGUGACCGCUCAAUCCUCUGCCGCGACUAUUUAACGCCCUUGAUUUCGACGUUCAAUCCCGAGCUCGUCUGUGCGUCCCCGGCGCGGUCCCUCAUGUCUGGCCCAAGACGUCCCCGGGGUUCUCCGCCGGCAGUCUCCAUCCGGGCCGGAUCGCCAAGGCCCCUUCUUCCUUUUCUGCCCCUGGUUUACAUGCUAAUUGUGUCUGGGAAAAGUUCUUUAAUUGGCAGAAUGAGGCAGAGCAAACGAAUUGUUUCACAGGCUGAACCAAAUUAAUUCCUAGUUUAGCGUCUUCCCUUGGAGAAACAAACAAUUAAACUGUCUUGUUUGUUUUAUGGAUAUAUUGGAAAUGCCCCACAUCGACUUUCAAGAUAUGUUUUUAAAGGGAAAUUAUUUUCAUUAUUAAUACUUGCAUGUUUAAUUUGCAGUAACGCUGAGCCAAGAAGCAAGAGAUUAAAUUUACGUAAUUUAAAAUUAGAGAAUACAGGAAGAAAAGAAUUUGAGUUAACUUUUUGCGUGGCUGAGAAAUACCGCCCAGAAUCUUCCUGUCAAGGACUAGAUCUGAAGUCUCACCAUCCAAUUAGGCACCCAUAGUCCUGACCAGGUGAGAUGACAUUUCCACCUGCCAGGGGAGAGAUACUCCCUGGGAGCUGGCAGAAAAGCCAGCUAUUGUGUCGCUGCCUGAAGCCCUCAGGGGAGCACCUGUAGGGAGCUGCCCUGAGAAACCUCAUGACGUCAUUUCCCCUUCUGCGCUGCGCUGACCGACUCCCAGAAGUCUGCCUUAACUUUUAAGUAAAACCGCUGCCCUUACAGAGCCUUUGAAGUCUGCUGUCUACCCUGUCCCUUCAGGGAAAGAAAGUUAAUGGGAGUUAAAGAAUCACCAAGCCUUAGGACUAGAAGAAACCCUGGACUGUUCGGUAGUUAAGUGGCCUGGAGUGAGAACAGCCUUAGUCUCUGGAGGCCAGCUGUUUUUAGGAAUUGUGUGAAUUAAAUGAGAUGGAGAGUGUAAACCGCAGGGGUGUAGAGGGGUCAGACGGAGGCGGAGCAAAGAAGGGGCUUGCUUUGUGUCAGUGCUGGGAGCUAGUCCAUCGUAAUUCCUCUUCAGUGCUCAAAAGACCACACCUGCUUUCCCCCACAUCACCUGGAAAAAGUAUGAUGGAGGAAGAGGAAAUGAAAAUGUGAACUCAGGAUUCUUUUAAAGAUCACAUCUAGCUAUUUGAUCUGAUCUCUGCUAUACCACUGGCCUCCCUGGUGGCUGAGUGGUAAAUAACUCACAUGUCAAUGUGGGAGUGGUGGGUCCCAUCCCUGGGUCUGGGAAAAUUCCCCUGAGAAGGAA